rnacentral:rRNA from 1 species
GAUGAACGCUGGCGGUGCGCCUAAUGCAUGCAAGUCGAGCGACGCACUCCGAGGGGUAACCCACUGGAAUGACGGAGCGGCGAACGGGUGAGUAACACGUGAGCAACCUGCCCCACAGACCGGGAUAGCCCAGGGAAACCUGGAUUAAUACCGGAUAUCCUCGUAGGACCGCAUGGUCCAUCGAGGAAAUGCCUUUGUGCUGUGGGAUGGGCUCGCGACUUAUCAGCUAGUUGGUGGGGUAACGGCCCACCAAGGCAUUGACGAGUAGCUGGUCUGAGAGGACGAUCAGCCACACUGGAACUGAGACACGGUCCAGACUCCUACGGGAGGCAGCAGCAGGGAAUCUUGCGCGAUGGGCGAAAGCCUGACGCAGCGACACCGCGUGGGGGAUGAAGGCCUUCGGGUUGUAAACCCCUUUCAGGAGGGAAGAAAUUGACGGUACCUCCACAAGAAGGACCGGCCAACUACGUG